rnacentral:rRNA from 1 species
UACGGGGGGGAGCAAGCGUUGUUCGGAUUUACUGGGCGUAAAGGGCGCGUAGGCGGCGCAACAAGUCACUUGUGAAAUCUCCGGGCUUAACCCGGAGCGGUCAAGUGAUACUGUCGUGCUAGAGUGCGGAAGGGGCUACUGGAAUUCUCGGUGUAGCGGUGAAAUGCGUAGAUAUCGAGAGGAACACCUGCGGCGAAGGCGGGUAGCUGGGCCGACACUGACGCUGAUGCGCGAAAGCGUGGGGAGCAAACAGG